AUACGGAGGAUCCGAGCGUUAUCCGGAUUUAUUGGGUUUAAAGGGUGCGCAGGCGGCCAUUUAAGUCAGCGGUUAAAUCGUGGGGCUCAACCCCAUUCUGCCGUUGAUACUGGGUGGCUUGAUUGCGGACGAGGUUGGCGGAAUUCGUUGUGUAGCGGUGAAAUGCAUAGAUAUGACGAAGAACACCGAUUGCGUAGGCAGCUGACCAGACCGCAAAUGACGCUCAUGCACGAAAGUGCGGGGAGCGAACAGGAUUAGAUACCCUGGUAGUCCGCACAGUAAACGAUGAAUACUUGUUUUCGGCGAUAUAAUGUCGGAGGUAAAGCGAAAGCGAUAAGUAUUCCACCUGGGGAGUACGCCGGCAACGGUGAAACUGAAAGGAAUUGACGGGG
rnacentral:rRNA from 1 species